rnacentral:lncRNA from 1 species
CUGGAGAUCCCUUCUUUUGGAGAUUUUUAGUGAGCCUUGAGACAGUUGACACCAUGCAAGGAAGGACUCAGUGCCCCCAAAAUGCAGGCUGUGUAAUGAAAAUACAUCAUUAGGCAAGAAAAAAAGCUUCAAAGGAAGGAAAGUAUUAUUGCCUCAAGAAACUGCAACGUUAAAUAACUUGUAUAAAGCCAAGGGAAGAAAAACCGAAGGGUCAGGCCAGGUUUAUUACUGCAAAAUGAAGAAGUAAAUAAUGUUUUGAGUUGCAGUGAAGUUUCUAGCUCUCUGCUGCUGUACUGUCCGGAAGGCUGGGGCUUGGUGAUGGCUUUGCCCGCAGGAAAUAGUCUUUGGGAAAGGCCAUCAAGACAAUGUCAGCUCAGCUGGGGGGAAUGGCACAAAGCAGAGAAUGUUGCAGUGUAGUUUCAUGGCAAGAUGACUGAUCUCAGUAAAAAAUCGUAAUGGAGACACAGCACUGGCAUAAACUUCACCUUGCCAAAGCAAGGUGGGUUCUACCUCGUUUCUGCAAUGCAAAUCCCAUAGCUGCAUUAUGGUAGAAACUGCAGAACAGUGCCUCCACUGGGACUGACAGCAGAACUGGUGUCAUUCACCUGUAAGGAUUGGAUGUUUUUGGCAGCAAAGAUACAGGGAGGCUUUUCUGUCUCUUGAGGGGGCUCAGUGGUAGCGAUGGGUAUAAAUUAAUAGGUUAUGAGAGUCUGUUACAAAGCUGUCCAAUGUUAAUCUCAUUGGAUGUAUCUGUAUUUAGAAUUAAUUGUGUUUCUGCUGAUACAGGCUCACAUAGGAGCUGUGUUUGUGUACCUACUCAUUUGCAUGUUAAUGGGGUUCUCCAGGGUUUUUCCUUGAUCUUUAACAGUAGGAAAGACUGGCUAAUUGAAAUUUAUUUGAAAAGGGUUUAUUUGCCUCUUGGGCUAGGGACAAUAGAUUAUGACAGCUGAGGAACGCUGCAUGCUCGUGUUAGCAAGUUAGAUUUUAAUACCUGAGCAUGACAACACUGGAGGGAUGAAUUAAUAAAGGAGGUGAAUGGUUUACACUGAUCCUUCUCAUGCUGAUCUCCCUACACUGGUGCUGGUCCAUCCCGCUCUCGUGGUGGUGGCUUCCCAGCAGCUCAGUGGGAAGCCUUGAUUUCAGUGGAAUGAAGCGACCCACGUGUGAAGCUGUUUGUAGGACAGUUGUACCUUCCUAAGAGAUGAGUCAAGAAUGUAGAAAUGACAGUGUGCAACAAUCCAUCCCAAUUACCAUCACUGAUACCCCCCACAAAACUGGAGAUUUUAAUGUGGAUGUCUGACCUGUCCUUAAAUGCUGUGCGUUGGAUCCUGGAUGCUUUGUUCUAACACCUCUGACACUCCAAACUACUCAUUCCUCUGCUGCUGGGGCGUGACAUUUCUAUCUCAGCUCUUUGUGGAGUCCUGCUUACAGCCCCUCUCCAGAAAUGCUGGGAAGUGUUGCUGAAGCAUAACGGUUGCUGUAGCGGAUCAACGUGCUCCGAGAAUUGCCCUCAGGCUGGGAAUAUUCUGAUGGCUCAAUUCAUCAGCUGCCACCUCUGCCAGCACCAUCAGUCAAGCAACUGGAGCUGGAGGUCAGGAUUUCAGUGAGGAAAUAACAUUUUGGGUGAAUGAUGAUCACUGUUUGGGAGGGGGACGGGUUGUGUAUUUUUACUAGUUAUCUUCUGUUGUUCACGUUUUCAGCCAGCUGCAGCAGAGCUGCUCUGAGCUGCACCUUCUGAGGUCCUUCGUUUUUAACACAAAUGUUCUGGUUUCUUCUGGUCCAGUCACCAAGAAACACCAUGGGGCCUGCUUAAUGCUCCAGCAGUCUCUGUGUUAUAGAACCUGUGUGUGGUUUCAUGCUCUCAGUCCAUCUCUCUGAAAAUAUUUAGCUACUGAGUCUGAUGUUGAGGGGCUUGAUUAUGAAGAGCUCAUAGCAUGGCAGACAGCAGUUCCUGGUACAGAACUGAGUAUAAUCACAGCUGAAGCACAGCUGUCAAAAUGAAAUGAACAUCAAGUGCAGCUUGCCAGUGAGAUCCCAUGCAGGCACAAGGUUUAACUUCAGAAUUUAGUUAAUGAUAUGCUUUGUUAUGUUUAUUCCCAUUUAAAAGGAAGGAGAAAAACAAGAUUAAUAUUGCAGAGAAAAUAAUUCCCUUUGCCAUGGAGUUUCAAUUAAGUACAGGGGAAAGAAACAUGGGGUAAACUGAUUCUGCUUGCCUGAAGUAAUGGGUUGGAAGCUGAAAUGAGUCUUUCUUGUUUCAGUACAUUAUGAAUAAAUAGAGAAUUG